rnacentral:rRNA from 1 species
ACACAUGCAAGUCGAACGGUAACAGGAAGCAGCUUGCUGCUUUGCUGACGAGUGGCGGACGGGUGAGUAAUGUCUGGGAAACUGCCUGAUGGAGGGGGAUAACUACUGGAAACGGUGGCUAAUACCGCAUAACGUCGCAAGACCAAAGAGGGGGACCUUCGGGCCUCUUGCCAUCAGAUGUGCCCAGAUGGGAUUAGCUUGUUGGUGAGGUAACGGCUCACCAAGGCGACGAUCCCUAGCUGGUCUGAGAGGAUGACCAGCCACACUGGAACUGAGACACGGUCCAGACUCCUACGGGAGGCAGCAGUGGGGAAUAUUGCACAAUGGGCGCAAGCCUGAUGCAGCCAUGCCGCGUGUAUGAAGAAGGCCUUC